rnacentral:rRNA from 1 species
UACGAAGGGGGCGAGCGUUGUUCGGAAUUACUGGGCGUAAAGGGCGCGCAGGCGGCUCUGAAAGUCAGAUGUGAAAGCCCCGGGCUUAACCUGGGAACUGCAUUUGAUACUCUAGAGCUUGAGUACGGGAGAGGAGAGUGGAAUUCCCAGUGUAGAGGUGAAAUUCGUAGAUAUUGGGAAGAACACCGGUGGCGAAGGCGGCUCACUGGCUCAUUACUGACGCUCAGGCGCGAUAGCGUGGGGAUCAAACAGG